rnacentral:rRNA from 1 species
CCGAAUGGGGAAACCCAGUGUGACUCGUCACACUAUCAUUAACUGAAUCCAUAGGUUAAUGAGGCGAACCGGGGGAACUGAAACAUCUAAGUACCCCGAGGAAAAGAAAUCAACCGAGAUUCCCCCAGUAGCGGCGAGCGAACGGGGAGGAGCCCAGAGCCUGAAUCAGCAUGUGUGUUAGUGGAAGCGUCUGGAAAGGCGCGCGAUACAGGGUGACAGCCCCGUACACAAAAGCGCAUGUGCUGUGAGCUCGAUGAGUAGGGCGGGACACGUGGUAUCCUGUCUGAAUAUGGGGGGACCAUCCUCCAAGGCUAAAUACUCCUGACUGACCGAUAGUGAACCAGUACCGUGAGGGAAAGGCGAAAAGAACCCCGGCGAGGGGAGUGAAAAAGAACCUGAAACCGUGUACGUACAAGCAGUGGGAGCACCCUUUUGGGUGUGACUGCGUACCUUUUGUAUAAUGGGUCAGCGACUUAUAUUCUGUAGCAAGGUUAACCGAAUAGGGGAGCCG